AACACAUGCAAGUCGCACGGUCAGCAAUGGCAGUGGCGGACGGGUGAGUAACACGUAGGAAUCUAUCCUGGGGUGGGGGACAACAGCGGGAAACUGCUGCUAAUACCGCAUGAUACCUGAGGGUCAAAGGCGCAAGUCGCCUUGGGAGGAGCCUGCGUCUGAUUAGCUUGUUGGUGGGGUAAAGGCCUACCAAGGCGACGAUCAGUAGCUGGUCUGAGAGGAUGAUCAGCCACAUUGGGACUGAGACACGGCCCAAACUCCUACGGGAGGCAGCAGUGGGGAAUAUUGGACAAUGGGGGAAACCCUGAUCCAGCAAUGCCGCGUGCGUGAAGAAGGUCUUCGGAUUGUAAAGCACUUUUGGCAGGGACGAUGAUGACGGUACCUGCAGAAUAAGCCCCGGCUAACUUCGUGCCAGCAGCCGCGGUAAUACGAAGGGGGCUAGCGUUGCUCGGAAUGACUGGGCGUAAAGGGCGCGUAGGCGGCGCGUACAGUCAGAAGUGAAAUUCCUGGGCUCAACCUGGGGACUGCUAUUGAUACGUGCGUGCUUGAGUGAGGAAGAGGGUUGUGGAAUUUCCAGUGUAGAGGUGAAAUUCGUAGAUAUUGGAAAGAACACCGGUGGCGAAGGCGGCAACCUGGUCCUUUACUGACGCUGAGGCGCGAAAGCGUGGGGAGCAAACAGGAUUAGAUACCCUGGUAGUCCACGCUGUAAACGAUGUGUGCUGGAUGUUGGGAAACUUAGUUUUUCAGUGUCGUAGCUAACGCGAUAAGCACACCGCCUGGGGAGUACGGCCGCAAGGUUGAAACUCAAGGAAUUGACGGGGGCCCGCACAAGCGGUGGAGCAUGUGGUUUA
rnacentral:rRNA from 1 species